rnacentral:rRNA from 1 species
GACGAACGCUGGCGGCGUGCUUAACACAUGCAAGUCGAACGGUGAAGCGCCUUCCUUUUUGGUGGGUGUGGAUGAGUGGCGAACGGGUGAGUAACACGUGAGUAACCUGCCCCCUUCUUCUGGAUAACCGCAUGAAAGUGUGGCUAAUACGGGAUAUUCUGGGUCUGUCGCAUGAUGGGUCUGGGAAAGAUAUUGUUUCGGUGGGGGAUGGGCUCGCGGCCUAUCAGCUUGUUGGUGGGGUGAUGGCCUACCAAGGCGGUGACGGGUAGCCGGCCUGAGAGGGUGGACGGCAACACUGGGAAUGAGACACGGCGCAGACUCCUACGGGAGGCAGCAGUGGGGAAUAUUGCACAAUGGGCGCAAGCCUGAUGCAGCGACGCCGCGUGAGGGAUGGAGGCCUUCGGGUUGUGAACCUCUUUCGCCAGUGAAGCAGGCCUGCCUCGUUUGUGGGUGGGUUGACGGUAGCUGGAUAAGAAGCGCCGGCUAACUACGUG